CAUGGCUGUCGUCAGCUCGUGCCGUGAGGUGUUCGGUUAAGUCCUGCAACGAGCGCAACCCUCGUGGUUAGUUGAAUUUCUCUAGCCAGACCGCCCGCAAAACGGGGAGGAAGGUGGGGAUGACGUCAAGUCAGCAUGGCCCUUAUACCCUGGGCCACACACACGCUACAAUGGACGGUACAAUUGGUAGCGACAGAGCGAUCUGGAGCCAAUCUAUAAAGCCGUCCUCAGUUCGGAUUGCAGGCUGCAACUCGCCUGCAUGAAGCCGGAGUUGCUAGUAACCGCAGGUCAGCAUACUGCGGUGAAUACGUUCUCGGGCCUUGU
rnacentral:rRNA from 1 species